GGAUGAUGUGGAUUAAUUCGAUGCAACGCGAAAAACCUUACCUACGCUUGACAUGCCAGAAACCCCGCAGAGAUGUGGGGGUAGCCCGAAAGGGAAUCUGGACACAGGUGCUGCAUGGCUGUCGUCAGCUCGUGUCGUGAGAUGUUGGGGUUAAGUCCCGCAACGAGCGCAACCCUUGUCCUUAGUUGCUACGCAAGGGCACUCUAAGGAGACUGCCGGUGACAAACCGGAGGAAGGUGGGGAUGACGUCAAGUCCUCAUGGCCCUUAUGUGUAGGGCUUCACACGUCAUACAAUGGUCGGUACAGAGGGUCGCCAACCCGCGAGGGGAGCCAAUCCCAGAAAGCCGAUCGUAGUCCGGAUUGCACUCUGCAACUCGAGUGCAUGAGUCGGAAUCGCUAGUAAUCGCGGAUCAGCAUGUCGCGGUGAACUACGUUCCCGGGUCUUGUACACACCG
rnacentral:rRNA from 1 species